GAGGUAUCAGAAGUGCGAAUGCUGACAUAAGUAACGAUAAAGCGGGUGAAAAGCCCGCUCGCCGGAAGACCAAGGGUUCCUGUCCAACGUUAAUCGGGGCAGGGUGAGUCGACCCCUAAGGCGAGGCCGAAAGGCGUAGUCGAUGGGAAACAGGUUAAUAUUCCUGUACUUGGUGUUACUGCGAAGGGGGGACGGAGAAGGCUAUGUUGGCCGGGCGACGGUUGUCCCGGUUUAAGCGUGUAGGCUGGUUUUCCAGGCAAAUCCGGAAAAUCAAGGCUGAGGCGUGAUGACGAGGCACUACGGUGCUGAAGCAACAAAUGCCCUGCUUCCAGGAAAAGCCUCUAAGCAUCAGGUAACAUCAAAUCGUACCCCAAACCGACACAGGUGGUCAGGUAGAGAAUACCAAGGCGCUUGAGAGAACUCGGGUGAAGGAACUAGGCAAAAUGGUGCCGUAACUUCGGGAGAAGG
rnacentral:rRNA from 1 species